UAUAAAGCUAAAACCCUGCAAAAAUCCUUUUGCCGCAUUUCAGCUCUGCAGCAGACCCUUCUCUCGUCCAUGCCCAGCCUCACCAUUUCCUCAUCCUAAAGAAUCAAAAUGUCAGCUUCCAAAUUCUUAUUUUCUCGCAGUUUGCUCUACUGUUCUAACGCCCACACAGUUCUCUUUCCAAUCCCUUCAUUUCUUCCCUCCAAACCCCUCCGAUUCCAUCGAUUCUGUUCCUCCGCUGCUCUCCACUCUGGUACCACAGAAACCCUUCAACAACUCCACCCCUGGCCUGAGUGGGUCUCCUUCGUCGACCGUUUGAAGUCCAAGGGUUACUUCACCACUAAUGUCACAAAUGAUGAUGCUACUGAGAGUAUUUACAGUGACAUGAAUCAAUCGAAAGACCCUUGUCUUAGCUUUGCCCGUGAUAGAUAUGAUCUAUUAAAGUCAUUGUCUGUGGAUGAUAUUCAAAAGGUCGUGGAGAGUGGAUGCCCCAAUCUUUUUCGAAAAGCAGUGAAUUCUGCGAAAAGGUUGAGGGCCUACUUGAGAAUGGAUGAAGGAGAGGUUUGUGGUGCCUGCAAUCUGCGUGGAUCUUGUGACAGAGCUUAUGUGAUACUGAAGGAUAAUGAAGCAAAUGCUCGUACUGUGGAUAUAGUGCGAAUUCUAUUGUCCUAUGCGCUAGAUCCGCUUGUUAUUUCUGGAGAGGAAAAGCCUCCUGGUAGAGAAGUUGUUGAAGCAGCUGUAAGAAAGCUGCUUUCUGAGUUGAUUGAAUUAAGUCAGAAAACCCCUGAUCCACCAGUGCUCAAGCCUGCUACUGAAGCUGUCCAUCAGAAGAAACGAGAGAGGAUAUUUAAUGAUGACAAGAAGCCUCCUUUAUCUGAUUCAUUCUCUGAUGAAAAACUGUCUCAGGAUGUUGAAAUGAAGAGAGGCGAUUGGAUUUGUCCCAAAUGCAACUUUAUGAACUUCUCUAAGAAUAUACGAUGCCUAAAAUGUAGUGAAGAAGGUCCGAAAAAAGUUGGUGCUUUUGAUACUGAAAUGAAGAAAGGAGAUUGGAUAUGUCCCAAAUGUGAUUUCAUGAAUUUCUCUAGAAAUAUAAGAUGCCUAAAGUGCAAAACAGAGGGACCAAAGGUGGUUGGUGUAAAUGAAGUACAAAUGAAGCCAGGAGAUUGGAAUUGCCCAGAAUGCGGAUUCAUGAAUUUUGCAAACAAUAAGCUGUGCCUGCGCUGUCGAGAACAACGUCCCAAGAGACAGCUGAUUCCUGGAGAUUGGGAAUGCCCAUCGUGUGAUUUCUUGAAUUACAGUAGGAAUGCCUCCUGCCGAAAGUGCAAUCAUGAACGUCCAGAAAGAGCAACAACAGAGUAUGAAGAACAGAGGUGGAGGAGCCCAUACUAGUUGGGAAGCUGGGCAGUAUUUUGUCACUCUUGGAGAUGAUCAAGGAUGUUACAAUAUGAUGUAUAGCUCGUUUGGAAUUGUAGUUUAAACAUGCUUUCAGGGAAAAUAUAAUUAUAGAUGUUGGAAAAAAAAUAUUUAGUUUGAAAAAGUUGUUAAAGCUAUUUUUGAGCUCUUAUUAUUGGAACAUGUCAAUUUUAAAUUAAAAUAAUUUUUAAUAGCCUUUAACUAACAUAAUUUAGGAGUAUUUUCUUAUUGUAAUUACGAUUUGUUUUCUAUAAAGAAAAAAG
rnacentral:misc_RNA from 1 species